rnacentral:sRNA from 1 species
CUUUCGAAAUUUCUAAUUGAACGCGAAUCAGGUGAGCGGGACGCGUCCGGAAACAAACCACUACCGAACCCUCACAUCCCCCAACAUGAAAAGACAUUAACACCAGCGAGCGUCAUCUGGCCAAUGGAUUGUGUUUUAAGCCAAGUUUCGUCCUGAUUGAACCUUGAUCUACAGUAACCAGGAACACCACACCUGCGUGCUACAAAACGACCAACGUGUGCUAGAGGUGGAACAAAAUGUGUAUUGGUAAAUGCCGAUAGUAACUAUCGAUUAGCAUAGAGGUGGAAAAUAAUGUGUAUUGGUAAAUGCCGAUAGUAAGUAUCGCAUCGACAUCGAUAUAUUAUGACUUACCGACUUAUCGAUAUUCUUAUCACCCCUGUCGUCAUUGCUCAUCUCUAUGCCGACUUGCAAAUCGCUAAGAAACUUCCUCGUCUAUAAAUACGCUUUUUUCCACCAAUUCGGGACUCAACGCUUCUUAAACAGCGUCAUUUCAAGCAAAAAAGCAUCAUUCAGAUGGCGAAGAAGACAAUAGAAUAUGAAGAUGAUGAAGAAUGCCGUCCAGCGUAACAGGACGACCAUGUGCGACAUUCACCCUAGGUCGACGGCAAAACCGGCCGAAAUUGCGUUUUGGUACUAAAAGAACAAGGAUGAGGCCAUAUGAGGCAUGAAAAGAUUCGGGCUAAGAAAAUAGACAUUUGCAAAUGAAAUGUGAACGAAGCAGUCCUGUUGGACGCCUUUCGUUUGGCCCCAACUAUGCAGGGCGUUUCUACUUUCGGUGCUUGACCUAUGACCAAUGUCAUCGUAAUUGGUUGCUUGCGAACACAAGAGCCACCCAGCUCAGUUCAAGGAAUACGACGAUGAAGUAAACCAAUCUUGAGUGCGGAUCAUUGGCAAAGAAAGGAGCCAAUAAAGAGGAAGCUUAGAUUGCUGAAGGGACAGAUUCGGCCAAGGAUCCGGAUUCCCAUUCUGAGCACCACAUUAAGAGCGGCAUGCUGCACGCCGGAAACCGAUCGAAGGAGGAGGAGCUGCAGCCGCUAAGGCUUUCCCUUGACUAAGGGACCAGAUCGCAAACAAGCUAGGCAAGCAACAGCGGAUGGAGCUCAAAAGGCUACUGGUUGGCGGACGGAACAGAACUGGCGGUAGUAGCGGGCUUUCUAUACAAAUUUGAUGGCGUGAAGCGACUGGACUGGCCGUCGGAGCAGCUUGAGAAUCGUCACAUGGCCGCACCGCUUUCAAAAAUGAGAAGGAAUUCGAAGCAGAGUCGCGGCCAGCAGAAGGCACAGAUUUAACAUGGACCACAUUGGGGCGGGAAUCAUUUAAGUAGAAAUGCAAAGGCUUAACUUCAAAAAGAAAUUAUUUUGUGGGCUUAUCUUAAUAAAAACUUGUAUCUAAAAUUUUGGCCAAAA